AUACGGAGGGUGCAAGCGUUAAUCGGAUUUACUGGGCGUAAAGCGUGCGUAGGCGGCUUGUUAAGUCAGAUGUGAAAGCCCCGGGCUCAACCUGGGAACUGCAUUUGAUACUGACAGGCUAGAGUAUGGUAGAGGGAAGUGGAAUUCCGCAUGUAGCGGUGAAAUGCGUAGAUAUGCGGAGGAACACCAGUGGCGAAGGCGACUUCCUGGACCAAUACUGACGCUGAGGUACGAAAGCGUGGGGAGCAAACAGGAUUAGAAACCCUAGUAGUCC
rnacentral:rRNA from 1 species